AGGGGACCCCAAAAUCUGGAAUUUCGGAUUUGGGGAAACCCCAAAAUUUGGAGUUUGAGGAGCCCCAAAAAUGUGGAUUUUCGGAGGGGAAACCCCAAAAUUUGAAGAGAGGGAGGAACAAAAAAACGGGGAUUUUGGGGAAGGGACCCCAAAAUUUGGAUUUUGGGAGAAGAGACCCCAAACCGUGCGUGUGGGAACCCCAAAAUGUGGAUUUGGGGAUGGGAUUUUUGAGGAAAAUCUCGGAUUUUUCCGCAGGCUCCGGAGCGAUGCCGCCCCUCCAGUUCUUGGCCCUCCUGGUGCUCGGCGCGGGAAUUUUGGGAAUUUCGGGAAUUUCGGGAAUUCCGGCGGUGCCAGCCCCGGGAAGGGGCCCCGAGGAGCUCCCCGCUCCCGCCGUGCUCCCAGCCCGCCGCUCCCGCUCGGUG